ACUGUUGUUGCUAGCCUCAAAUCACAAAGCAUUAUUUUUGUUUGAAAAAAAAGAUUACAAACAUUAUUGUUUAUCAACAUUUGAUGUUGUUGGUCGUAGAAUUCAAGAAGUCAACCUCGCUUUAUCUUUUGAGUCAGUAAUUGCUCAACCAAAUAACACUUUUCUAGGAAUAUGCGACAAAAGAGUUGUUGUUUCCCAGGAUGAUGGCACAGAAAUAUUUUCUUUCUUCCCAGAGAAACUGAAAGCUGUUACAGUUGGUCAAGAUGGAAACAUCUUUAUGCUUAUGGUUGAUGGUAUACAAGUGAUGCAUCCAAAGAAGGACUAUAUACAUAUGGCAUUUUUGAAAUCGGAUGAAAAAAAUACUGAUAGUGAAAUCAUUGGAUUUCACAGCUUCAAUAAUGAUAGUACCAAACUACUUUUAGUGACAAAAAGAUGUGUAGAGAAACAUUCAGGCAGUCGUGGCAGUAAAAAGCACUCUGAUGGUCGAAACAAUGUUUACUGUGUGAAAUUAUUUUCUGAGAUUUGAAAGUAUGCUAACCGAGUAAAGAAAUCAUAGGAUAAUUUAUUGAAGACAGUUCAUCAUUCUAUAAGGAAGUUGACGAUUUUAAUAUGUUUUGUAAUCCAUGCAGUAGACGGGAUGUGGAAUCCAAAUCUACAAGUUGGUGCAGUGAUUGUGAAGAGGGUCUGUGUAAUAAAUGUUUAGAGGAUCACAGAGUUAUUAAACUUACUAAGAACCAUCACGUAAUCGACAUGACAGAACAAAUAUUGCCUGAACAUUAUAAACUGUUGUCCAUACCUAACUGUGAAAUUCAUGAAGAGCUACGACAAGAUAUGGUCUGCAAGGAUCAUGAUUUGAUCUGUUGUCAUCAAUGCUUCCAAAGUAGUCAUAAGUCUUGUAAAAAUGUCUCUCAUCUAGACAUGGCAGCAAAGGGAAUCAAGCAAUCUGAUUGGCUGAAAAAAUUUGGCCAUGAUUUGAAAGAAAUGACCAAAAUUAGUCACAAAAUUCUUGAGGAAAGAAAAGUGUCAAAAGAAGAUUUGAAAAAUCAAGUACAGAAAAUAAAGAAGGAAAUAGCCAAUAUCAAGUCCAAGUUUAUUCAGCAUAUAGAUGAUUUAGAAAAAGUUUUGUUAAGUGAACUUGCAGCUGUAAAUAAAGAUGGAGAAGAAGAGUCGGUAGAGGAGAAAAUCGAGUUGAUGAAUAUGGAGAAGGAAGUCAUAGCUGAUCAGACUGCCUUAGAGUUUGUAACCUCCAAUGGUUCUGAAAGUCAGUUAUACUCAUUUGUACAAAAGCAGACAGAGAAACAAAAAGAAAGAGUGAAAAAGCUACAGAAAAUACCACCAAAUUCAAGAGUUAAUAUUGAAUUGCAUGAAGCCAGUCAUGAAAUAGAGGCUAUCAAAUCAUUAUAAUAUUUGUCUGUCAACUUUGAAAAAGUUACACAUCCAUUAAGUGUACAAGGUUUUAUUAAACCUGACGAGAGCUUAUCUAGAACUGAAGGCAAAGAUUUUCUAAAUGUCACAUUAGAAAAAGAAAAACGGAUCUAUCCUAAAGAUUUCCUCGCAGAAAAUGAAAGUGUAGAUGAUAUGUCUUUAGAAGUACACUGUGCCACAGUUACAGAUGAUAAUUAUAUACUGGUAGCAGGGAUGUUAAGAUUGGUGGUCAAUGGAAACUACAAAACAGUCUUACAGGUUGCCAAAUAUGAUGAAAACAUGAAUUAUCUUCUGAGCUUUCGUUUUUACUCAGUUGAUAAAUUUACACAUUCUUGCAAAAUAUUUGGCAUAACACCUAUUCAAAAAUCAGAUAGAAUAGUUAUUGUAUAUUGUAUAGAAGAUAAUAAGAAAAAGUUAAUUAUAUGCUGUUACAAAGCAAAAUUUGAUAAAAUAGUGUCUGUAAAUAUUGACAGUGUUUCACACCAUUCAUAUGGAGUGCAAGUAGGCUCUCAUGGUAAACGAAUUUAUCUUCGCUAUAAAAAGACAAAUAAUGGGCCUUUUUGCAUAUCAGUUUAUGAUGUUCUUGGUUGUUGUAUUCAAGAGAGAAUUGAUAUAAAAAAAUCAUUUGAUUCCUUCAUUGUACAACCUGACAACACUUUCUUGGGAUUG